rnacentral:rRNA from 1 species
AUUGAACGCUGGCGGCAGGCCUAACACAUGCAAGUCGAACGAGUGGCGGACGGGUGAGUAAUGUCUGGGAAACUGCCUGAUGGAGGGGGAUAACUACUGGAAACGGUAGCUAAUACCGCAUACCAUCGGAUGUGCCCAGAUGGGAUUAGCUAGUAGGUGGGGUAACGGCUCACCAAGGCGACGAACCCUAGCUGGUCUGAGAGGAUGACCGGCAACAUGGUAAAUGAGAAACGGUCCAGACGCCUACGGGAGGCAGCAGUGGGGAAUAUUGCACAUAGGGCGCAAGCCUGAUGCAGCCAUGCCGCGUGUAUGAAGAAGGCCUUCGGGUGGUAAAGUACUUUCAGCGAGGAGGCGUUACCCGCAGAAGAAGCACCGGAUAACUCCGUGCCAGCAGCCGCGGUAAUAC